GACGAACGCUGGCGGCGUGCUUAACACAUGCAAGUCGAACGGAAACGCCCUGCUUUCGUGGGGUGCUCGAGUGGCGAACGGGUGCGUAACACGUAUGCAACCUGCCCUUGACUUUGGGAUAACUUCAGGAAACUGGGCCUAAUACCGUAUAGGAGCUCCUGCUCCAUGGUGGGGGUUGGAAAGUUUCGGCGGUUGGGGAUGGACUCGCGGCUGAUUAGCUAGUUGGUGGGGGAGAGGCUUACCAAGGCUUUGACCGGUAGCUGGCCUGAGAGGGUGGUCGGCCACACUGGAACUGAGACACGGGCCAGACUCCGACGGGAGGCAGCAGUGGGGAAUAGUGGACAAUGGGCGCAAGCCUGAUCCAGCCAUACCGCGUGGGUGAAGAAGGCCUUCGGGUUGUAAAGCCCUUUUGGUGGGAAAGAAAAGCAGCAGGUUAAUACCCCGCUGUUCUGACGGUACCCAAAGAAUAAGCACCGGCGAACUUCG
rnacentral:rRNA from 1 species